rnacentral:rRNA from 1 species
GUGAGGAAUAUUGCGCAAUGGAGGCAACUCUGACGCAGCCAUGCCGCGUGCAGGAAGAAGGCGCUACGCGUUGUAAACUGCUUUUACCCGGGAAGAAACCCCAGGACGUGUCCUGGGUUGACGGUACCGGAGGAAUAAGCACCGGCUAACUUCGUGCCAGCAGCCGCGGUAAUACGAAGGGUGCAAGCGUUAUCCGGAUUCAUUGGGUUUAAAGGGUGCGUAGGCGGAGCGUUAAGUCAGUGGUGAAAUCCUGCAGCUUAACUGUAGACUUGCCAUUGAUACUGGCGCUCUUGAGUGCGCUUGAAGUGGGCGGAAUGUGCCGUGUAGCGGUGAACUGCUUAGAUAUGGCACAGAACACCAAUUGCGAAGGCAGCUCACUAAGGCGAUACUGACGCUGAGGCACGAAAGCGUGGGGAUCGAACAGGAUUAGAUACCCCGGUAGUCC